AGAAGUUUUGACAGCUUGAUGGUCUGGAGCAUUCAGAUGCGUGUUAACACAAUGUUACAAUCUUUCCAGGAGUGGACGUCAUAGCAAAUUCAACCUAAGGUCAAAUUUAAAACUGACAACAACAACAACAACAACAAAGCCAUCCUGGAUUAUUGGUAUAUUUCCUACUACAAACAACUUUCCCUGUAUUGACACCUAUAGGGAAAAUGGGAACCCGUGCUAAUCCCCGGGAAAAGAUGACAUCAAGUGGAAGCAGAGCAAGGGAUUAUGGGGGAUGUUGUGGAGCAUGAUCAACUGCCACUGAGAACUGGAUGGACAGGGAGGAAUUCUUCCCAGAUAAAGAUGUUGACUUUUGAUGAUGAAGCUAGCUGAAACUCCGCAAGAUUUCUUGGAUCCAUAUAGCAAUGGAAUUUCUGAGUUUGAAGCUUUGUUAAUGCCAUGCAGGCUGACUUACAGAGGAAGCAUCUUUCAUCAAAACGCCAACGCUCCAGACACCUGGUGUGAUAUUUAAAAUAUCACUCGUGCUCACAUUGUUUAAUUUGACCCUUUUUUAUUGCAGCAUAUUUAAAUCAACGCGGAUCAGUAUAGAGCAGUGUUCACAAAAGCAGUGCAGCAUUGAACUUCUCCAGACUUCACCUGACAGAUGUGCAUGUGACACAGAAAUGUACCACAUUAGUAGGUUUUUAACCUGUCACCUCACUAGUCACCACAGUUAAUUGCCCAGUGCAUUUAUUGCUAGCAAGUCUGCAUCCUGCACACUCUAUCCAGCCAUCUCUCUUCCCUGAAAAUGCAUCUGAAGCAUGCUGACCAGCUUUGUGCUGCAUGUGAGAGAUUAUGGCCAAUAUCCUCACAUGAUUCCCCUGAAAUUGUUCAAAGUUAAUGUGUGAAAAUGGCUCAGCAGUCACUCAUAUAGAGGACCCCCCUGAGAAUUCACCCAACCUCGCAGUUCUCUUCAUCUCAUUGAUUACAGCCUGUAAUCUUGGUAUUUUAACUGACUGUUACUGUGUUGGUGCAAGCAAACACAGCACCAAACGGCAAAAAAAGGUAUCUGGUGAACAAAGCGGAGGUUUAAAGAGAGGCGUUCAAAUUCAGAGUAGACUGAGCAGAGUGUAAAUACUGGACUUAGAUUCAUUAUGAAUUCAAAUGAAUGCUAAUGUUGCUCAGCAUCUGUUGGAAGUGUAAAUGAGCAACUGUUUACCACAUCAGAUCAGAAGGUGAUAAUGUCAGUUGUGUGUUCACAUCUUGAUUCCAAACCAGUGUGGCCAAAAAAUGUCUCAUUGCAGUAUUAAUGAUUAAUUUUUGAAACAACAAAGUUGGGGAAAAGUAAGAUAUUGUCAACAUACCAUUACAGCAAUGCAAUAAGUAUUAUUUUAUGCUUGAAAAAUUCCAAAAUAACAAAUAAAUGCAAAAUCAUGCCUUGAGUUUGUACAUGGAGAUGCUACUGAUUUCAGCUGUUUCUUUGCUCACAAGACCAAAGCGCCACAGAGGGUAGUUUUAUACCUUUGUCAUGGUCCUGGGUCUUUUGACCAAGCGUUUUGAGUUUUCUUGUGUUUUUGUCAUUUUUUUUUAUCAUGAUUUAUGUUUAAGUCCACUUUGUUAGUCUUGAGUUUAUUCUAUAGCGCCAAGAUUGUUCUGUUUAGCUUUUGAUUAUUAGAUUCCCUCUUGUGUGUUUGCUAUCUGUGUGUCUGUCUUUAUACUUGAGUUCUUGUGUCUUGCUUCCUUCUUCGUGUUUCAUUCUUUAUCCAUGUUUUCCCAGUCAUGUCUCUGUGUGUCUGUCUGCAUCUCUGUGCAUGUGUCACUGUUACUUCAUGUUUUACUGUUUUACUUUGGUAGUCUCCUGCCUGUGUGCGCCAUGUUUUGUUUCGCUUCUCUUACUUUGAAGGUUCAUUAGAUU